rnacentral:lncRNA from 1 species
CUCACUUCACCUUCCUGCUGGUGCAAACCCUUUUUCAUUGCUCAGAACAUUUAACACCUGUGAGGAGAGGGUAAAGGGUCCUUCUCUGCACAGGCACUUUGGGAACAAUAAAUACCAUCCUACAAAUAUUUUUGCAGAAGGACAUGUAGUGGCCCUGAUUUCUGUCCUCUUCCCUCAGCCCACUGUUUGGAAAUGCAUCUUGAAGAAGACUGAAGUUUAUCUUCUGUGGCUCAGACUCUGAAAAGUCACCCACCAGUGACAACAUGCAGAUUGUUUCAAGAAAUGCCCAGUUUUCAUGGGCCCGUCGUGGGGUGAUGGAUGGCUGGGGACGCCCAGCGAGGAUAUCUGUCUCCACCAAGGCUCUGGGUGCUCCCUGGCUGCCCUUUCCCAGCCACCAGCAGAGUUUCCAGCGUGGAGGGGGAUCUAUAAAACAUGACUUGUAAAGAGAAAGAGCUGGCAUUUGACUCCUGAAGGGAAAGAGAUGGUGGAGAGCUGCGAAGAAGAUGGAUGCCCCCCUCCCCGAAAUAUAAAGAAAUAUGUGCAGAAAAUGAAAGAGAUUUAAAGCAGCUAUCAAUCGGUCGCUGUUCCAGCUUUAAGAGCUGUUGAAACAACAUAAUAAAAGGCAAUAAACAAGAGAUUUAUGACCUACC